rnacentral:rRNA from 1 species
CCUACGGGAGGCAGCAGUAGGUAAUUUCCACAAUGGGCGCAAGUCUGAUGGAGCAACGCCGCGUGAGUGAAGAAGGUUUUCGGAUCGUAAAGCUCUGUUGUUGGUGAAGAAGGAUAGAGGUAGUAACUGGCCUUUAUUUGACGGUAAUCAACCAGAAAGUCACGGCUAACUACGUGCCAGCAGCCGCGGUAAU